UGAGUUCAUGUAAUCUUAUGAUGAAUGCA
rnacentral:piRNA from 1 species